rnacentral:rRNA from 1 species
UUUUUAUGGAGAGUUUGAUCCUGGCUCAGGAUGAACGCUGGCGGCGUGCCUAAUACAUGCAAGUCGAGCGAACAGAUAAGGAGCUUGCUCCUUUGACGUUAGCGGCGGACGGGUGAGUAACACGUGGAUAACCUACCUAUAAGACUGGGAUAACUUCGGGAAACCGGAGCUAAUACCGGAUAAGAUUUUGAACCGCAUGGUUCAAUAGUGAAAGACGGCCUUGC